GAUGAACGCUGGCGGCGUGCCUAAUACAUGCAAGUCGAGCGAACGGACGAGAAGCUUGCUUCUCUGAUGUUAGCGGCGGACGGGUGAGUAACAUGUGGAUAACCUACCUAUAAGACUGGGAUAACUUCGGGAAACCGUAGCUAAUACCGGAUAAUAUUUUGAACCGCAUGGUUCAAAAGUGAAAGACGGUCUUGCUGUCACUUAUAGAUGGAUCCGCGCUGCAUUAGCUAGUUGGUAAGGUAACGGCUUACCAAGGCAACGAUGCAUAGCCGACCUGAGAGGGUGAUCGCCCACCCUGGAGCUGAGACACGGUCCAGACUCCUACGGGAGGCCGCAGUAGGGAACGUUCCGCAAUGGGCGAAAGCCUGACGGAGCAGCGCCGCGUGAGUGAUGAAGGUCUUCGGAUCGUAAAACUCUGUUAUUAGGGAAGAACAUAUGUGUAAGUAACUGUGCACAUCUUGACGGUACCUAAUCAGAAAGCCACGGCUAACUACGUG
rnacentral:rRNA from 1 species